rnacentral:rRNA from 1 species
CAAGCGGUGGAGCAUGUGGUUUAAUUCGAUGGUACGCGAGGAACCUUACCUGGGUUUGACAUACGGAGGGAAGUGGCAGCGAUGUCACUGUGUCGCGAGACGACUCCGUACAGGUGCUGCAUGGCUGUCGUCAGCUCGUGCCGUGAGGUGUUGGGUUAAGUCCCGCAACGAGCGCAACCCUACUGCCAGUUACUAACAGGUGAAGCUGAGGACUCUGGCGGAACUGCCGGUGACAAACCGGAGGAAGGUGGGAUGACGUCAAGUCAUCAUGGCCCUUAUGUCCAGGGCUACACACGUGCUACAAUGGGCGGUACAAAGAGAAGCAACCUCGCGAGGGUGAGCAAAUCUCAAAAAGCCGUUCUCAGUUCGGAUUGAAGUCUGCAACUCGACUUCAUGAAGUCGGAAUCGCUAGUAAUCGCGGAUCAGCAUGCCGCGGUGAAUGCGUUCCCGGGCCUU